UACGGAGGGAGCUAGCGUUGUUCGGAAUUACUGGGCGUAAAGCGCGCGUAGGCGGCUUUGUAAGUUAGAGGUGAAAGCCCGGGGCUCAACCCCGGAACUGCCUUUAAGACUGCAUCGCUUGAAUCCGGGAGAGGUGAGUGGAAUUCCGAGUGUAGAGGUGAAAUGCGUAGAUAUCGGGAGGAACACCAGAGGCGAAGGCGGGUUACUGGGCUGAUACUGACGCUGAUGCGCGAAAGCCAGGGGAGCAAACGGG
rnacentral:rRNA from 1 species